rnacentral:rRNA from 1 species
AUUCCAGCUCCAAUAGCGUAUAUUAAUGUUGUUGCAGUUAAAAAGCUCGUAGUUGGAUUUCUGGUCGGAACGCCGGUCCGGCUCCGCAAGGGGUCGUGUAUUGGUUUCUCCUGCCAUCCUCAGGGGGAGCUGCGCUGGUAUUCAUUUAUCGGCGUGGUUACGCCUGUCGUUUACUGUGAACAAAUUAGAGUGUUCAAAGCAAGGUGUACUUGAAUACAUUAGCAUGGAAUAAUAAGAUAGGACUUUGGUGGUUCUUUUUGAUAUUUUGUUGGUUUGCACGCCAAAGUAAUGAUUAAUAGGAGCAGUUGGGGGUAUUCGUAUUCAAUUGUCAGAGGUGAAAUUCUUGGAUUUAUAGAAGACGAACUACUGCGAAAGCAUUUACCAAGGAUGUUUUCAUCG